UUGCUCAAUUCUAGUGGUAAUGUUGUGAACUGUAGGCCAGCCUUCAGUCUGCUGAUUCUGGCUUCAAGCUAACAGGUCAUAUUGCUUGUGGCUUCUUUUGUUUUAUUUUUAAAGGAAACAAUGUUUGCAGUUUUAUAGUGGAAAGAGCAUUGGACAGAAGAUCUGCCUCCUCAAAUCUACUGUUUAACUUAGGUCUUCCCGGAAUCAUCACAAGAUACCACAGGCUAACAGAGUCUUUGGCUGUAGUAGAGUAAAUAUUACAACCAUGUUCUCUUCAACUACAGCCAAACUGACACACAACUUGCAAGACAAGAAAAGUUGUCAUACCUUCUCUCAUUCCCAUGCAUUUGUAUGCACUGCAUCCUCUGUCUAGAACACCCUUAUUCAGCUGACUUACUCACCUGAACCAGAAGCCUCAAAAAUUCAUAAAAGUGAAAGGUUUAUAGUAUACAAAUGACUCACUGAGAGGUGAAAAAAAAUGUUAGAAUGCUACUUGUGCUAUGUUGUAUCUUUUAAACUAUUAUUUUUGGGCAUAUGUUAUGUAUAGUACACAAUAUAUUCAUUCAGUGGUACUUACAGGAGUCUUAAAAACAUUUUAAAAAUAGAUAUGUUGAGGGUAGGGGAGUAUAUAUGUGUGGGUGGAGAGGGCUAUAUGGGAACUCUGUAUUUUCUGCUCAUUUCUGCUGUAAACCUUAAACUGCUCUAUAAAAAUAAAGUCUAUUAAAAAAUACAUAUAUUGGAAGUGUUCACAAUUUAUUUUACAAUCAAAAUGUCCAUCAAUUCACAAAUAAACAAAAUGUGGUAUUAGCCAUAAAAUGGAAUGUUAUUUAACCAAAAGGCAAGUGAAGUACUUGAUACAUCCUACAACAAAGAUGAACCUUGAAAACAUGCUAAGUCAAAGAAGCCAAUCACAAAAAGCCACACAUUAAAUGAUUCCAUUUAUGUGAACUAUUUAGAACAGAGAAAUCUAUGCAGACAGAAGGUAGAUUAGUGGUUGCCUGUGUCUGGGGAAGGGGAGGCUGAGGCUGUAUAGGAGACAGUAGAGGUACUAUCCAUCCCUCUGGAACCAUAAUUUCUUUUUAAGAUGAUGAAAAUGUUCUAAAGUUUUGGUGAUGUUUGAUGAUAUCUUUGAAUAUACUAAAAAUCAAUAAACUGCACACUGUAAAUGGGUGAACUGCAUGGUAUGUGAACUUUAUCUCAAUAAAAUUGUUAAAAAUAAACAAACAAAAAACUUUAUUCUACAG